rnacentral:rRNA from 1 species
UUAAGCGACUAAGCGUACACGGUGGAUGCCUAGGCAGUCAGAGGCGAUGAAGGGCGUGCUAAUCUGCGAAAAGCGUCGGUAAGCUGAUAUGAAGCGUUAUAACCGACGAUACCCGAAUGGGGAAACCCAGUGCAAUACGUUGCACUAUCGUUAGAUGAAUACAUAGUCUAACGAGGCGAACCGGGGGAACUGAAACAUCUAAGUACCCCGAGGAAAAGAAAUCAACCGAGAUUCCCCCAGUAGCGGCGAGCGAACGGGGAGGAGCCCAGAGUCUGAAUCAGUUUGUGUGUUAGUGGAAGCGUCUGGAAAGUCGCACGGUACAGGGUGAUAGUCCCGUACACCAAAAUGCACAGGCUGUGAACUCGAUGAGUAGGGCGGGACACGUGACAUCCUGUCUGAAUAUGGGGGGACCAUCCUCCAAGGCUAAAUACUCCUGACUGACCGAUAGUGAACCAGUACCGUGAGGGAAAGGCGAAAAGAACCCCGGCGAGGGGAGUGAAAUAGAACCUGAAACCGUGUACGUACAAGCAGUGGGAGCACCUUCGUGGUGUGACUGCGUACCUUUUGUAUAAUGGGUCAGCGACUUAUAUUUUGUAGCAAGGUUAACCGAAUAGGGGAGCCGUAGGGAAACCGAGUCUUAACUGGGCGUCUAGUUGCAAGGUAUAGACCCGAAACCCGGUGAUCUAGCCAUGGGCAGGUUGAAGGUUGGGUAACACUAACUGGAGGACCGAACCGACUAAUGUUGAAAAAUUAGCGGAUGACUUGUGGCUGGGGGUGAAAGGCCAAUCAAACCGGGAGAUAGCUGGUUCUCCCCGAAAGCUAUUUAGGUAGCGCCUCGUGAACUCAUCUUCGGGGGUAGAGCACUGUUUCGGCUAGGGGGCCAUCCCGGCUUACCAAACCGAUGCAAACUCCGAAUACCGAAGAAUGUUAUCACGGGAGACACACGGCGGGUGCUAACGUCCGUCGUGAAGAGGGAAACAACCCAGACCGCCAGCUAAGGUCCCAAAGUCAUGGUUAAGUGGGAAACGAUGUGGGAAGGCACAGACAGCCAGGAUGUUGGCUUAGAAGCAGCCAUCAUUUAAAGAAAGCGUAAUAGCUCACUGGUCGAGUCGGCCUGCGCGGAAGAUGUAACGGGGCUAAACCAUGCACCGAAGCUGCGGCAGCGACACUUAGGUGUUGUUGGGUAGGGGAGCGUUCUGUAAGCCGUUGAAGGUGACCUGUGAGGGUUGCUGGAGGUAUCAGAAGUGCGAAUGCUGACAUAAGUAACGAUAAUGCGGGUGAAAAACCCGCACGCCGGAAGACCAAGGGUUCCUGUCCAACGUUAAUCGGGGCAGGGUGAGUCGACCCCUAAGGCGAGGCUGAAAAGCGUAGUCGAUGGGAAACAGGUUAAUAUUCCUGUACUUGGUGUUACUGCGAAGGGGGGACGGAGAAGGCUAGGCUGGCCGGGCGACGGUUGUCCCGGUUUAAGCGUGUAGGGGGAGUGACCAGGUAAAUCCGGUUGCUUAUCAACCCUGAGGCGUGAUGACGAUGCACCACGGUGCAGAAGCAGUUGAUGCCAUGCUUCCAGGAAAAGCCUCUAAGCAUCAGGUAACAUUAAAUCGUACCCCAAACCGACACAGGUGGUCAGGUAGAGAAUACUCAGGCGCUUGAGAGAACUCGGGUGAAGGAACUAGGCAAAAUGGUGCCGUAACUUCGGGAGAAGGCACGCUGGCGUUAGGUGAAAGGACUAGCUCCUGGAGCUGAAGCCAGUCGCAGAUACCAGCUGGCUGCAACUGUUUAAUAAAAACACAGCACUGUGCAAACACGAAAGUGGACGUAUACGGUGUGACGCCUGCCCGGUGCUGGAGGGUUAAUUGAUGGGGUCAGCCGCAAGGCGAAGCUCUUGAUCGAAGCCCCAGUAAACGGCGGCCGUAACUAUAACGGUCCUAAGGUAGCGAAAUUCCUUGUCGGGUAAGUUCCGACCUGCACGAAUGGCGUAAUGAUGGCCAGGCUGUCUCCACCCGAGACUCAGUGAAAUUGAACUCGCUGUGAAGAUGCAGUGUACCCGCGGCAAGACGGAAAGACCCCGUGAACCUUUACUAUAGCUUGACACUGAACAUUGAGCCUUGAUGUGUAGGAUAGGUGGGAGGCCUUGAAGUGUGGACGCCAGUCUGCAUGGAGCCAACCUUGAAAUACCACCCUUUAAUGUUUGAUGUUCUAACUCGGCCCCAUGAUCUGGGGUGAGGACAGUGUCUGGUGGGUAGUUUGACUGGGGCGGUCUCCUCCCAAAGAGUAACGGAGGAGCACGAAGGUUAGCUAAUCACGGUCGGACAUCGUGAGGUUAGUGCAAAGGCAUAAGCUAGCUUGACUGCGAGAGUGACGGCUCGAGCAGGUACGAAAGUAGGUCUUAGUGAUCCGGUGGUUCUGAAUGGAAGGGCCAUCGCUCAACGGAUAAAAGGUACUCCGGGGAUAACAGGCUGAUACCGCCCAAGAGUUCAUAUCGACGGCGGUGUUUGGCACCUCGAUGUCGGCUCAUCACAUCCUGGGGCUGAAGUAGGUCCCAAGGGUAUGGCUGUUCGCCAUUUAAAGUGGUACGCGAGCUGGGUUUAGAACGUCGUGAGACAGUUCGGUCCCUAUCUGCCGUGGGCGUUGGAAGAUUGAGAGGGGCUGCUCCUAGUACGAGAGGACCGGAGUGGACGAAUCACUGGUGUUCGGGUUGUCAUGCCAAUGGCAUUGCCCGGUAGCUAAAUUCGGAAGAGAUAACCGCUGAAAGCAUCUAAGCGGGAAACUUGCCUCGAGAUGAGUCUUCCCUGGGGCUUAAAGCCCCCUGAAGGAACGUUAAAGACUAUGACGUUGAUAGGCUGGGUGUGUAAGUGCAGCGAUGUAUUGAGCUAACCAGUACUAAUGAUCCGUGAGGCUUAACCUU